AGGGUCGCAGCGGUGCGCACGGAAGCCCAGGGCGCGGGCCCGCGUGGAGCCGCCGCGGGUGCAGAUCUUGGUGGUAGUAGCAAAUAUUCAAACGAGAACUUUGAAGGCUGAGAUAUCCUGUUGGGAAAGUGUAGUAGGGAGAUCGGAUGAGCA